GCUCCUGUAGCUCAGUUGGAUAGAGCGUUCGCCUCCUAAGCGAGAGGUCGCAGGUUCAAUUCCUGCCGGGAGCA
rnacentral:tRNA from 1 species